AUUGAACGCUGGCGGCAGGCCUAACACAUGCAAGUCGAACGGUAGCACAGAGAGCUUGCUCUCGGGUGACGAGUGGCGGACGGGUGAGUAACGUCUGGGAAACUGCCCGAUGGAGGGGGAUAACUACUGGAAACGGUAGCUAAUACCGCAUAACGUCGCAAGACCAAAGUGGGGGACCUUCGGGCCUCACACCAUCGGAUGUGCCCAGAUGGGAUUAGCUAGUAGGUGGGGUAAUGGCUCACCUAGGCGACGAUCCCUAGCUGGUCUGAGAGGAUGACCAGCCACACUGGAAUUGAGACACGGUCCAGACUCCUACGGGAGGCAGCAGUGGGGAAUAUCGCACAAUGGGCGCAAGCCUGAUGCAGCCAUGCCGCGUGUAUGAAGAAGGCCUUCGGGUUGUAAAGUACUUUCAGCGGGGAGGAAGGCGGUGAAGUUAAUAACUUCACCGAUUGACGUUACCCGCAGAAGAAACACCGGCUAACUCCGUGCCAGCAGCCGCCGUAA
rnacentral:rRNA from 1 species